CUGGCUGUGCUGAAGGAGGGAGAAGAGAUAGUACCAUGAUCAGAGCAGUUCUGGGUGGGGUCAGGGGAGCAUGAGUGAGCUCCCAGAUGACUGCUGCUAGACUGAGGUCCUGAUAUAAGGGUGGGCUGUGUCCAGAUGUAGUCCUGAGAGCAACAUGAUUCUCGAUGACAGAAGCGACGGCAGUGAGACGCCACUAGAUGAGGGUGCACUGGUGAACCAAAGCUAAUUCCCAGGAUAGCCAGCAGGAGGUGCUGCAGUGGGGAGAUGUAGCAGAACUGAAGACUGAGAAAUUGCUGUAUUUCAUUUCACACAUUAUAGGAAAUAGCUGCACACCCAUGUCCCCCAGCAUAGCUUGCAAAUCCCUUGCAGUCCUGCAGCAUUUCUGGGAGAACCAUCCUAGUGAAUAACUUCCUGAUGCAUCUCAUUGGUCUGCCCUUUGCCUUUUUGAAUAAGACCGUUCUCUGCUCCUAGCCAGCUGCAUCAGCAGAACGUCAAAGUCAUGACAGCUUAAACAGGAUGUAGAGGGGAUUAUACACCAGGUCACACUACCUGCCACCCUCCCUGCAACUCUGACACUCUAGAAGCUCCUCCAGUGCACAAACAAAACUGCAAAACUAAAACAGGACCAUAAUUCCAAUCCUACCCACCCCCACAAUUUUCCUAACCGCAGGCAAAUCCUUGUGAACCCAGUACCUCCUGACAUACACACUGCUUGUCUCUGAGGUUUCCCCAGGACUGGGAAGAAUCUGAGGAAAGUAGAAAUCACAUUCAUAUUUAAAACAAUGCUGUCAUGGCCUGUCUGGAAUAUGAAUAAGCAAUUUUGUUUGCCAUAUUCCCACAUCCAUAACACAUGCAAUGGCCAUAUUGUCAAGAACAGAGCUUCUAACUCCUGCUGAGAGGCCGGCCAACCUAAGGGCAUGAAAAAGGAACACUUGGGACAAGAUCUUUGCCAUACUUGUGGCAGAGUCCUAGAGGAAAACCAAACUGACUGAGAGCUGCACACAGUCCACAGAUGAAGAAAGAAAUGCAGCUCUCCCAGGAGAUCAUCGCUGUAGCCAGGGAUGGCAAGGAAAGAGACAGGGAGAUGCAGAGACUACCCUGACCCUGAAUGCUCUCCUCUAAAACAGGCUCCUGCUAGGCCAAUAGGUCCUGCUGUCCCAUAGUGUGGGACCCAGCCAUGUCCUUCAGCCCUUGACAAUACUAGCUACUGGGACCUGCAACAAAAUCCUCCAGUCUGCACCUCCACAACAAUUCUACCAGCUGCCAUUCCCCUCUCAGAGCCAACCCCUGGGCACCAAGAACACUGGCUCCUGGAAGCCCAGCACUUUUGAGUCCAGCAGUGGCCCUGACAAUUUUGAGCUGCAGCACUCAACCGCAGAGCCCAUGUGGACAAGAAGAGGCAGAGGGAAGGCACAUAGUCCCCUGUGAUUUUAAGCACCCCCGCUCUGCCCUUGCACCACACAUCUUAUUCUGUUUGUACUGUUUCAUUUUCAGUUUUGCUUGUAUUGUUGCUUUAAUGAAAGGCUUGUUUAUAGGUGGUUAGUAAAUAGAUUGUUUUGUUAAAUGGAUUUUCACAUUAAAAAUCAUUGCUUUUCCAGGGAUUCAAUUAAAACUUUCUUUCAUUUUGUCAUUGUUUUUUCAUAAUAAACUGUGUAUAAUUCAGCCAU